rnacentral:rRNA from 1 species
CCUACGGGUGGCAGCAGUCGAGAAUCAUUCACAAUGGGGGAAACCCUGAUGGUGCGACGCCGCGUGGGGGAAUGAAGGUCUUCGGAUUGUAAACCCCUGUCAUGUGGGAGCAAAUUAAAAAGAUAGUCCCACAAGAGGAAGAGAAGGCUAACCCGGUGCCAGCAGCCGCGGUAAUACAGAGGUCUCAAGCGUGGUUCGGUAUCAGUGGGCGUAAGGGGUGCGUAGGCUGUUUCGUAAGUCGGGUGUGAAAGGCGCGGGCUCAACCCGGGGACGGCACUUGAUACUGCGAGACUAGAGUAAUGGAGGGGGAAGCGGAAUUCUCGGUGUAGCAGUGAAAUGCGUAGAUAUCGAGAGGAACACUCGUGGCGAAGGCGGGUUCCUGGACAUUAACUGACGCUGAGGCACGAAGGCCAGGGGAGCAAAAGGGAUUAGAUACCCGGGUAGUC